AUUGAACGCUGGCGGCAGGCCUAACACAUGCAAGUCGAACGAGUGGCGGACGGGUGAGUAAUGUCUGGGAAACUGCCUGAUGGAGGGGGAUAACUACUGGAAACUGUAGCUAAUACCGCAUACCAUCGGAUGUGCCCAGAUGGGGUUAGCUCGUAGGUGGGGUAAAGGAUCACCUAGGCGACGAUCCCUAGCUGGUCUGAGAGGAUGACCAGCCACACUGGAACUGAGACACGGGCCAGACUCCUACGGGAGUCAGCAGGGGGGAAUAUUGCACUAUGCGCGCAAGCCUGAUGCAGCCAUGCCGCGUGUAUGAAGAAGGCCUUCGGGUUGUAAAGUACUUUCAGCGGGGAGGCGUUACCCGCAGAAGAAGCACCGGCUAACUCCGUUCCAGCAGCCGCGGUAAUAC
rnacentral:rRNA from 1 species